GGGUUGUGAGGUUAAGCGACUAAGCGUACACGGUGGAUGCCCUGGCAGUCAGAGGCGAUGAAGGGCGUGCUAAUCUGCGAUAAGCGCCGGUAAGGUGAUAUGAACCGUUAUAACCGGCGAUACCCGAAUGGGGAAACCCAGUGUGACUCGUCACACUAUCAUUAACUGAAUCCAUAGGUUAAUGAGGCGAACCGGGGGAACUGAAACAUCUAAGUACCCCGAGGAAAAGAAAUCAACCGAGAUUCCCCCAGUAGCGGCGAGCGAACGGGGAGGAGCCCAGAGCCUGAAUCAGCAUGUGUGUUAGUGGAAGCGUCUGGAAAGGCGCGCGAUACAGGGUGACAGCCCCGUACACAAAAGCGCAUGUGCUGUGAGCUCGAUGAGUAGGGCGGGACACGUGGUAUCCUGUCUGAAUAUGGGGGGACCAUCCUCCAAGGCUAAAUACUCCUGACUGACCGAUAGUGAACCAGUACCGUGAGGGAAAGGCGAAAAGAACCCCGGCGAGGGGAGUGAAAAAGAACCUGAAACCGUGUACGUACAAGCAGUGGGAGCACCCUUUUGGGUGUGACUGCGUACCUUUUGUAUAAUGGGUCAGCGACUUAUAUUCUGUAGCAAGGUUAACCGAAUAGGGGAGCCGGAGGGAAACCGAGUCUUAAUUGGGCGUUAAGUUGCAGGGUAUAGACCCGAAACCCGGUGAUCUAGCCAUGGGCAGGUUGAAGGUUGGGUAACACUAACUGGAGGACCGAACCGACUAAUGUUGAAAAAUUAGCGGAUGACCUGUGGCUGGGGGUGAAAGGCCAAUCAAACCGGGAGAUAGCUGGUUCUCCCCGAAAGCUAUUUAGGUAGCGCCUCGUGAAUUCAUCUCCGGGGGUAGAGCACUGUUUCGGCUAGGGGGCCAUCCCGGCUUACCAACCCGAUGCAAACUGCGAAUACCGGAGAAUGUUAUCACGGGAGACACACGGCGGGUGCUAACGUCCGUCGUGAAGAGGGAAACAACCCAGACCGCCAGCUAAGGUCCCAAAGUCAUGGUUAAGUGGGAAACGAUGUGGGAAGGCCCAGACAGCCAGGAUGUUGGCUUAGAAGCAGCCAUCAUUUAAAGAAAGCGUAAUAGCUCACUGGUCGAGUCGGCCUGCGCGGAAGAUGUAACGGGGCUAAACCAUGCACCGAAGCUGCGGCAGCGACGCUUAUGCGUUGUUGGGUAGGGGAGCGUUCUGUAAGCCUGCGAAGGUGGCCUGUGAGGGUUGCUGGAGGUAUCAGAAGUGCGAAUGCUGACAUAAGUAACGAUAAAGCGGGUGAAAAGCCCGCUCGCCGGAAGACCAAGGGUUCCUGUCCAACGUUAAUCGGGGCAGG
rnacentral:rRNA from 1 species